UGCCCUCCGCCCGGGGAAGGAGCAUCCCGGGAGUGGGGUCGAUUUCAUUCUCCCUCCUCCCCACUACACCCUUGGCGCAGGAGCAUCUCGGGAGUGAGGUUAGGCCUGGAGCGCAAGUGCAUCAUGGGACUCAGCUCAUUCGGCCGUUGCUGAGAGACCCUAAGUCCGGAGAAGCAUCUGGAGAAGGAUGAUUGAAAAGCAAUAUUUUGAUCAGUGUCAGAAUCGUAAGGAUCAUCUCAGCAAGGCAUGAAAUGAAACCACAGAACAGCCACACAGCUUUCCUCCAACCACAAAUUAUCUUCCCCUGUGUGCAUUGGUAGAGGAACAACUAAAAACAUCUCAUUAAGAAAAGAGGAAUGGUGGCAGCAUUCUUGUAUCCACGAACACCACAGUUUGCCACAAAUACCAUCAGGCCCCAAAGUUACAGGCUAGGGCAUCUGUCGUUACGUUAUGACCUGCUUCACAGCACCAGAUGAAAAGAUUCUUCUGCCGAGGAGAAACACGUAACUUGAAAAGUUAACUGUUUUUCACUGGUCGGAGAUGCUGCCAGAACCUGCUGAAUAUUUCCAACACUUGUGUUUUUACAACAGGGCUGCUGGCUACUGUCUUUCUCAUGGGAGAUACUUAGCCAGCAGAUGAUUAUGGAGAGAAAAAGGGAGUAAAACAAAAGGAAUCCAUGUCAUCAAGGAGAAACCUGCAUCAAACAAGGCUGUAAUCUUCAAAAAUGAAACGAUCAGUUGACACGAGUAAAACUUACAGUGUAAUUGGAUAAAAUGAAACAGCAUUUCUAAUGAAAUUCACCCAGUGUUUCUCACUCACUUAGCUUGAAAAUUAAUUAUAUGACAAUUUGAUCUGAUAAACACUGUUUGCUUAGAGUGGAAAUCCAACACCCCAUUUAUGUUAUUGUCCAAUGGAGGCAUCAAUGUAACACUGACACACAUGGUAGGAGAAAAUGCUCACUGAGGGUGUUACUUCUUUCUCCUACCACAGGUCAAUCAAUCAAUCAAACUUGACUCAAAGCAGCUUUGUUGAUUUUUUUAAAAUUUGAUUUAUUUAUUGCCGUGUGUACUUUGUUGCAAAAUACGGUAAAGUGUACUGUAUGGUGUCGCCUUUCCCUGGCACCAUCUUAAAACAUAAAAAAAACCAAAACGUAGAAUAUAAAGGCAGAAAAAUAAAGAAGUAAAAUUCUACGUUACAGCCCUUCUUGUUAAAUGCUCAGCCAUGGGCCUGGUGCAGGCAGCCAUGAGAUCCCUCUCAGCACCAGUGGAACAAGAAUACCCACUCUUUGACACCAUCUUUCCUCCAUUGACACAGCUGCCGUCAUGAAUCUUUGAUGGGUCUCACUGAUGCAGCCAUCACCGAUGCCACCCGGUCCUACGGAGGCCCAAACUCCACUCUGCCGCCGCCAAGACUCCGCUCCAGGCCCACCUCAGCCACAGCCAAUGCCCCUGGCUAAUGUAUUGGGCCCAAACCCGCCUUCACUGUUAUCUCUGUUAAUCUGUGCAGGAUGCAGACGCUGCAGGGAACCGAACUCACCUCCACUGCAGCAGCCAUGAGUCAGCACUGGGCUAACCCUGUCGACGGAGAAGCCUCCGGGAACCCAAACAUGCCGCUGAUACUGGCACUGCAACCAAGCUCUUCACAAGAGGGGAGGAAGGAAGAAGAAAAACAACAAGGAAAGAGAAAACGAAAAGCAGACAAGCCCUCGACUCAGGGCCCCUAGUCCACAGCCAUCUUGGAAUAGCAAGGAAGCACAGCAUUGGGUGUACAGAUAAAAUGAGAACAUUCUGAGUGCAAUAUUAUACCAGGGUUGAGAUUUAGGCUUGCCAAUAGUCUCUGAAUUAUUUAUAAAGUUCAAGGUGCAACUAGAAAUGGGUGAUAGAGGAAUCAGUUCUGCCGAAUAGGUGGGAGACAGUGACAACUGUGCACUCUUUAACCCACAGGACUAAAUCACAUUGUUUUUGGUUAAAUCUAAGUUGCAUUGAAGUUUUGGAGGAUUUGCUGCUAUGAGGCCAAAUGAGUUCUGUUGCCUUAUUUCAUCAAACAUGCUUCAUUAAUUUACCUAACAUGCCCCGAUGGUACCUUCUACAUUUUAUCUCUGCCCCAGCUUUACCACAUGCUUUCUCACAACAGCUCGCCACUCAGUGGACAUGUCGGAAUUCAUUGGGAUUCCUUACAGCCAUGCUGUUUUUCAAAGCCCAUUAUGUACCUGGAUAAGCACUGUCAAGCUGGAACUGCCCUGCAUGUUUCUGGAUAUUUACCCUGGAAAUGAUGGAGAGGGGCAAAUUCUUGCCUUGUUGUGCAGGCAGGGAACUGGAGACCCCAACUGGACAGGAUGGUGCACAAGUAAGGCACCUUCUUCCCCCAGAACUUGGAGUGGAGGCCACAACAUCAACCCACUGUGAAGGGUUAGUAUUCUCUACUAAUACAGAUUUGCUCAAGUUCCUGCCCUCUCUCUAAAGCCAGAGCUCCCCGUCAUUUCUGGUAUGUUAUUUGUGCCCUCCUUUGUGAUGACAGAAGAGAAGUGUGCUGGACAGGAUUUCCAACCAGGUUGAAAUGGUCUCAGCCAUCAUAAGAAUGCCCAGGUCUGUAGAAAGUAGGUCAACAUCCUUCUCCACUCCACCAGAGUAAGUGCCACAAUCAUGUCUCUGAUACUCCACACUCACUGUAUUUCGGCGACUGGACCCACGUCCGACCAAGGCUCAUGCUGUACCACUGUCACUAUUUCCUGUAACAUCUUCCCCACUCGCUGUCAUUCCAACCCAUCCAGUUAGGCUCAGAGUGAGUGAGCACUGUGACAGCCAGUGAACAGCCCAGCGAUGAAGCCUUGUCCAGUCCAUGAACUGGGUGCAUGUCUCUGAGCGUGCAACAUUACAGCAUUGAAGUGCAGUAGCUUACUCUAAGUGGAUUGGAGAUGUGUCAUGAACUUUCUUAUGAUUAGCAAACAUAGCAUGUUAAUGUCCAUAGAAAUACGGUGCUUGUGACUGGUGCAUAUGGAGAGCGUCCUGAGAUGUUAGUACCUGAUUUCCAACAUGGACAUCACUCAGAGCAAGUAACGAGUUGAAUCUUCCUAGCUUCCUUGUUGAGUUUUCCCAAUGUCCAGCUUGUGUGGCAAAUUCAUUCAGAUGGAAGUCUGAAUAUUACGAGGAAAGUUCUGGUAUCAACAAGGCAUUUAACAAGCAAUAAUGAUCACAUUUGGCAUUUCUCCAUGUUGGACAAUUCUGUAUCUCAUCAUAGGCCACAUUGAAUGAGAGUCCUUUAAGUUUCUGUGCUUGAAGACUGUUGCAAAUUUUGUGUGUCAGGACAAUGCAGAGAUGGCGUAGCAGUAAUAUCUACAGUUUGUUUAAAUUUUAGUGAGUCCACUUCCAGACUUAAACAAUUAGGCACAGUGCACAUCAAUAAUGAAUAGUCUCACAAUCAAACACAACAAUGGUUGAACUCUACAAAGACCAAUGAAAUACAUCUGACAACACUGUAAUAACAAAUGUUUCCAGUUAUGGGUCACUGUUGGAUAUUCAAAGUGGAUGGGCCUCCUAUUGUUACUAAUUUUAAUUUGGCAGAUUAAAUGAACAUACAAAUUGACUAAAAUGACACAACAUUGCAAUGCUGAAGCAACCCAGACAACCACCAUUUAAUAUUUGAGUCAAUAUAAACGUAAGAUGCAAACGCUUGCAUGGAAGAUAAAGCAGAAAGUCUGUCGAGGAAAGCAAAGGUAUGUUACAAUUCAAUCUGUGCUCUCUCUUUUAUCUAUAUUUCUCCUGCCACUAAAGAGAGAAAAAUCCUGUGAUGUAAAUCCCAGUUUGUGUGCUUUACAUUCUCUUCAAAUUAAAGUUUUACACUACAUCUGUUCUGACCUCCAUUUGGCUAUCUGGUCAGGACCAGAGACAUUAUAUAACCAAAAAAUCUUGUAAUCCUUUUCCCAGUUUCAAGUGAAUGCACGUUUCUAUUUUCUGCUUUUCGAUGUAGCCCCAAAGCCUUGAAGGGUAUGAGACUUGAUUGUGGAACCGUCAACUCUCAAAGUCUUGCCUUCAGAGGUCUGUUUCCCUUCAUUUCCUGUUAUAGUCUAAGGGGAAAUCUUUCCAGUUGAAUUGAAAGGAAAAGUAAGAAAAUGCAGGAGAUCUAAAGUUAAAGCUGAAGAUCUACAAUAGGUCAGUUUGCCUCUGAAAGAGCUAGAUGUUCCAGAUGAACCCUUCUUUUGAAUCCUUCAGAUGACAGGUACCAUUUGAAACUUUUCUGAAUAUGUUCACCCAAACCCAUUAACAUUACAGUUGCUGUAUAUUAUCAUUUGUUUUCACUGAUGUUAAACCUUACUAGCUUAACAUUUGCUGUUAUCUGUUGUGUAUUUCCUCAGGUUUUCUACAAAAUAUACAGCAGCACUUUCCGUCUUCAUUCUGCAUGAAUUUUAUAUUCCCAAUUUUCAUUUAAGUUACUGGGCAAACAUGAUUGGGUGCACAAGGACACCCAGGUCUCAUUGAACAUUCCCCUCUCUCAAUUCACAGCCAUUCAAAUAACCAUCUGCUUUCCUGUUUUUGCUACCAAAGUGGAUAACCUCACAUUUAUCCACAUUGUACUGCAUCUGCCAUGCAUUUACCCACUCCUUCAGCCUGUCCAAAUCACCACUGUGACAUCUCUGCAUCCUGCUCACAGCUCACCCUUCCACUCAGCUUUGGAUCAUCAGUAAAUUUUGAGAUAUUACAUUUUAUUCUCUUGUCUGACUUGUUAAAAUACGGGGUCCUGGUCUGAUCCCUGCUGUAUCCCACUAGCCAAUGCCUGCCACUUUAGGAUUGAACAAAAAAUUCCCAUCAUCUAAAAACUUGACAAACCCCUGGACUUCCCUGGUAUCGAAAAUGCGGGGCAAAAUUCUGAGCUCAGCCUGCAACAAACAGAUACACAGUCAGAAUGAUUUCAGCCUGGGACUAUGGUUCUCACUGGAAUUCCAAUAUAGAGAUAGUAAGAACUGCCA